GAAAGCGACGUUCAACCGCAAAAGAAGCAGAGGGGGCUUAGUGGUGGGGUGACUGCGUACCUUUUGUAUAAUGGGUCAGCGACUUAUAUUCUGUAGCAAGGUUAACCGUAUAGGGGAGCCGGAGGGAAACCGAGUCUUAACCGGGCGUUAAGUUGCAGGGUAUAGACCCGAAACCCGGUGAUCUAGCCAUGGGCAGGUUGAAGGUUGGGUAACACUAACUGGAGGACCGAACCGACUAAUGUUGAAAAAUUAGCGGAUGACCUGUGGCUGGGGGUGAAAGGCCAAUCAAACCGGGAGAUAGCUGGUUCUCCCCGAAAGCUAUUUAGGUAGCGCCUCGUGAAUUCAUCUCCGGGGGUAGAGCACUGUUUCGGCUAGGGGGCCAUCCCGGCUUACCAACCCGAUGCAAACUGCGAAUACCGGAGAAUGUUAUCACGGGAGACACACGGCGGGUGCUAACGUCCGUCGUGAAGAGGGAAACAACCCAGACCGCCAGCUAAGGUCCCAAAGUCAUGGUUAAGUGGGAAACGAUGUGGGAAGGCCCAGACAGCCAGGAUGUUGGCUUAGAAGCAGCCAUCAUUUAAAGAAAGCGUAAUAGCUCACUGGUCGAGUCGGCCUGCGCGGAAGAUGUAACGGGGCUAAACCAUG
rnacentral:rRNA from 1 species